AUGCUCGGAGGGACGCAUCAGGCGUCUUCCGGUGUCCCGGCUGAGCUUGCACGCCGUUUUCUGACCCACGCGGGGAGAGGGAACAGUGGUCCGCGAUCACAAGCGUGGCGGCUGCUGUGUGGUGGGCGGGGCCUCAGGGAAAGACGUGACUUGCCAGGGAUGGAUGAGUGGAUGAAGGAGCACGCAUUCUGCGGGUAGGGGUCCGGAAGGUCCAGGCAGUAACCUAUUCCACACUCAGGACACAGUCAGUCAUAAAUGAACGGUUCAAAGAGGAAGUUAUUAAAACAUUACAGGCGCUUUAUUAUAGCACUUAGUCUUCGAGAUUGUGUUUAUGAGAGCCUACUGAACACUCGAGCUGCUGUCCAGGCACCUAAUGCUGAUUGUUAAAUAGCCGGCUGGUUCUUAAGUUGCUGCCUUUGUAAACUUUAUGCCACUAUACUAGUAUUUGAAACAUCUAUUUGUCAAUUAUUGUGAUGGUCAAAAGACAACUUACUUGAGCCAGUUCUCUCCGUCUACCAUGUAAGUCCGAUCACCAGGCACCUUUACCCACUUGAGCCUUCUCAGCGGCCCUUUGUACCCUGUUCUAAAAAGAUUUAACGAGAUAAACAAGUAUUCUGGCUUGGUAAUACACCUGCAAUCCCAGCACUUGGGAGGCUGAGGCAGGAGGAGGUAGAGGCUCAGGAGAUUCCAGAGGUAAAACAGCAUCACAUGUCUGGAGAAAUGGCAAGUUAGAAGAUUGUGAAAGGCCCCUCCUCAGCUUUAUAGCAUUAGGAAACAGCUGCUUGGGGAAGAGACUGGUCAGCUGAAACUGCAAGAUUUCUCAGAAGGUGGAGCUGCCUGCUACUCAUCUAGAUGGUCUGAGUUUUCAGUGAUGGCAUCUGUCUUGUAAGUGACCCCAAUAAAAAACUCAUUGGUUCACCAGAUUGCAA
rnacentral:lncRNA from 1 species